rnacentral:rRNA from 1 species
AGUGAACGCUGGCGGUAGGCCUAACACAUGCAAGUCGAACGGCAGCACAGUAAGAGCUUGCUCUUACGGGUGGCGAGUGUCGGACGGGUGAGGAAUACAUCGGAAUCUACUUUUUCGUGGGGGAUAACGUAGGGAAACUUACGCUAAUUCCGCAUACGACCUACGGGUGAAAGCAGGGGAUCUUCGGACCUUGCGCGAUUGAAUGAGCCGAUGUCGGAUUAGCUAGUUGGCGGGGUAAAGGCCCACCAAGGCGACGAUCCGUAGCUGGUCUGAGAGGAUGAUCAGCCACACUGGAACUGAGACACGGUACAGACUCCUACGGGAGGCAGCAGUGGGGAAUAUUGGACAAUGGGCGCAAGACUGAUCCAGCCAUACAGCGUGGGUGAAGAAGGCCUUCGGGUUGUAAAGCCCUUUUGUUGGGAAAGAAAAGCAGCAGGUUAAUACCACGCUGUUCUGACGGUACCCAAAGAAUAAGCACCGGCUAACUUCGUG